UUUUCCUUUUACUGUGUCUGUGGUUCCACAACUUCCUUUUUUCCCCCCUUCUCUACAGACUUUUUACCUAAUUUGGACUCUGCUUAGAUUGACCUAGUUUUCUCUUUAAUCAAAUCUCCAGGAACCAAUUUAUUACCAUUAAAAAUGAUCUAACAAGCUUUAUUUUUAUCAUUGUUAAAAAUCCUCAUUUUGAGUAACACAACCACAAAGUAAAGAAUGUUAUCAUUGAUUUAACCAGUAAAAGACAAUACUUAACAAUAAAAUUUUAAAAACAUAAGCCAGCCGGCUUACCUGAUGAAAAUAAUGAUUGCGGCUGCAAGCUGCAUUUGCCAGACAAUGGUUUUAGAUUUGCUGUGCAUCCUGAACGCCAUGAAAAAUGGACUGCCUGGCCUCUUGAUAAGGAAAUCAAUUACUUGCUUCAUUCUGAGUGAAAAGAAUGAAAGGAUUUAAAAAAUCAUAAUAACCAAAACGGGAAGAAUGAAGCAAACUGGCAAGAGGCAUAUCAUACAUUUCAAGCUAGUGUUGUUUUGUCUGAAAGUAAAGUCUUGAUGCCUUCAAAUGUUCCAGGUGAUUUUUAUUCCUUCGUUCUUGAGUCCUCUGAAGCUCCUGGGAACACCCCCCUACAAGCAGCUGCCAGCCUUUAAUCAUGCCCCAUGUCUUUUUUUUCCAACUUGUCAGGACAGUCACUCAAACAGAGUCUCCUCUGAUCCUCCCCACCGCAGGCAUCCCAUUCAAGAAUUUGCAGCCCAGCUCGCCUGGCAGUGGAAAACAAAUUUUGUUUCCAGGGGGAAGUUACACAUAAUCUUUUCUUCUGAACUGGGCUUCUGUCAUACUCGAGUUACUUCUUUUGGCUCUGGGUGCUCCCUGAGCAGGCCUGGCUAAUAGGAAGUGAAGCAAGCACUGGUUUUUCAAAGCCCCAUUUAGUCUUCCUAAUGGCUCAUUCUCACUGAGCAUUAUAAGGGUGAAAAUAUGUUGAUUUCCUGAUUGACUAAAGCUACCUUGAGUCAUUUCAGCCAUUUCAUUAUCUUUUCACCCUCACAAAUACCACUUUCUCAGCCAGGAAUCUAUAAAGCUGAUAUGAUAUUCAGAAUUUAAUUAAACAUUUAUUUGCAUUGCUCAAAAGUGAAUUUAUAGUAGCUUGAUCAUAAUAUGAAUGACCUCUUUUUUUUUUUUCAGAGGAAGGGAAGGCAGUAAAUAAAACAUACAUUUACACUUGCCAGCUGAUGUUGAAGGCAUAUAGGAUUUUCUUUUCCCUAAAAAAAAAAAAAAAAAAA
rnacentral:lncRNA from 1 species